CGCGUAGUAAUAGCAUAAAUCGAUUAAAAGUUUUACUGGAUCGAGUAUUUGCGAUAGUAUUUACGAUAAAUCGAUUUUGCGAUAUUGUUGCGCAUUAAACAGUUGCGCAUCUGGUAAUUAUACAACUAUUCGCCACAUUACAUCUCGCGAGAGAUUGAUAGAUCGAUUGUACGCGACUAAUUUCGAAACUCUGGCAAACGUGAAACGUGUAUGGGGAACAGUGGGAAGAAUAGAAAGUACAAGUGAAUUAUUUCUCGUUGUAAUAUCGUCACAGAUGUGAACGAUAAUAUCGAAUCAGCGUGCAACUCGCUUCUUACAACAGUUGCAAACGGAUCACAAUUUAUCGAAGCAAACGUACUGGCGACAUUACGUCAUUCCGACAAAGAAAAAUAAAUUAAUCGAAUAAAUUACUUCGCAUCGUAAAUACCUUAUGAUUGUGUAUACUAUUCAUUAACUAUAUUUUGAUGAGUCCAAAGAGAUCUGUUUCGGCAAAUAAAUUGACACAAAUGACUUCAAUGGGUUUUUAUUGUUUUCGGCGAAUGAAAGGUUAAGAC